GUGUUGUAGGAAAGGAGAGAAGUUAGCCGUCCGCUCGGUGGGGACGGCAGAGGCCCGGCCCGGCCGCAUGCUGACCGUUAGGCUUUGCCGCCUGCUUCGUGGCAUCUGACCAUCGUUGGGUUUUU
ensembl:snRNA